AUAUGCAAGGAGUGUCUUGGCAUGUUCUGUGAGAUAGAACCCAGUAUUCCUUUUCCCACUAAUAAUCUCUAGCAAGAUUACACCAAAGCUGAAGACAUCAGAUUUGACAGAGAAUAGACCCUCCAUUGCAUACUCUGGAGCCAUAUAACCACUGUUUCAAGAAUCGAGUAUAAGCAUUAGCAUGUUCUAAAGAUAAAUAUGGGAGCUGUAAGAAGCAAACUCACAGUGUUCCUACAACUCUUUUAGUGUUAGCUGUGUUCUGGCUGUCACAAAAUAUCCUUGCCAUGCCAAAGUCUGAUAUUUUGGCAACCAUUUCAUAGUCCAACAGUACGUUGCUAGGCUUUAAAUCCCUGUGAAUGAUUUUAAGCCGCGAGUCCUCGUGAAGAUACAAAAGCCCUCUAGCAAUGCCUUCAAUAAUGUUGUAAUAAAUUUUCCAAUUGAGUUCUGCUCGUCUUUCCAAAUCUGAAAAUUUAGUACAAUUUAUCAUGUGAAGUGUCCGUAUGAUGUAUAAAUGUAUAAGUAAAAGAACAUUAUAGCAGAAGAGUAAGAUGAACAAACCAAAGAUAAAAACAUCAAGGCUUUUAUUUGGCAUGAACUCGUACAAAAGCAGCUUUUCCUCUCCCUCAAAGCUGCAUGCCAAGAGCCGCACCAGGUUUUUGUGUUGAAGUUUUGCAAUGGUUACCACCUCAUUUUUGAACUCCUCUAAGCCUUGCCAUGACUUCUUCGACAGUCUUUUGACGGCAACUUCUUUCCCAUCUGGUAGCAAACCCUGAAAGAAUAUUGACAAAAUCAGAUGACGACAUUCAUUUUUCGGCCUAUAAUUGAAUCAGUACUAUAAUUAAGCCUACGUAGAAACAUAAUACAUAGUAUCAUUACCUUGUAAACAGUACCAAACCCACCUUGUCCAAGCUUGUUUAAAUCCGAAAAGUCAUUCGUAGCUAUCUUUAUAGUAGCUAGAUCCAUGAAGGCCAGCUCUUCAGAAAUUAUGAACAUCCCUUCUUCUGUGAUUGUGACUCCAGUGGGGCUUGCCAAAUCUUGUAAUAGUACUUGCUCGCUUUUUUCUUCAUCUGCAAAAAAAAACAUCACAAGUAAAUCUUACAAGGUAAUCCUCAAAAUUCAGAAUAAUUUUUUAGUUUUGAUAGAUGUACCUUUGACAUCCUCUGAUCCCUUUUUGCGCCGGAGACGGACAGUACAAAAUACAAUGGCUGCUAACAGUAUGAUGGAUGCAGAUACAAGUAUAACCACCUUCCAAUUCUUCCAUCUAUCCGCUGCUUUUUAAUAGAAAGAAUUUCCUUGAGCCACAAUGUGCAUGCAGUGCACAGAUAAUUAAUUCACAAAAGAAAACUUUCAAGCCACUAACCUUUGGACUGUGGAUAGAUUAACAAAGAAUUUGACGAGUCGUUAAAAAAGGGGAACAGUUCAAAUCUCACAUUGCAAUUCCUACUGACAACAGUUCCACCUUGUUGAGAAGAGCAACAUCCCAAAAGAUCUGUGAGAGCAGAAUUCAAACAGCUAUGGCAGUCACUUGCAGAAAUGUCUCUAGUGCACUGCUGUAAGCCAUAAAUUGUAUCCUUUCCCGAAAAUUUAAUUUUCCCAGUUGCAAACAUAUGCUUAGAAGGACUAAACGCAGCUGCUCCAGAGAGGUUUAUCAUUAAAUAGGUCAAUACAUCAUUGAAAUGGUGUGGAUUUGAUACGUUCUUCUCCUGACUAUCCUUGUCCAGAUACUUUCCAGUGUAAACCAUUAGUUGAAAGAACAUCUGGUAAGAAUAUCGAACUUGACAUAGCUCGUACCAAAUCAUUGCAUCUGUUUUAUUGCAACUCUUGAAGAUUUCCUGCCUUGCUUCAUCGACACAGUUUUGGCAAACCGUGGAGUUGACAUCCCAUCUACAAAGUGCUUGUCCAUAGACUAUGUCAAGUCCAUCUCCUACCGUAUCGUUGUAGAAACCUCCUGCGAUGGAAGUGUUGGAAGAUAAUGACUCAAGUAGCCGCUCGAGAUUGCUUUCAAAUUGGCUAUUUCUGACAUCAGCUAAACAAAAAUUUGAUAGGGGAUCUGUAGCAGAAAGGGCAGCUGGCAUCAACAGCGAAAUAAUUGCAAAAAGCAUUACAGGAAGUUUAUCUUUAUCCAUUUUCUAGAAAGGGUUCACAGUGAACACAGAAUUAGGACAAUGGCAAGAAACACUUGGAUGAUUUAUUUGGAUGACUUUUCAGUUUUGACAUCGAAGUUCCUGCUACUAGUUUUCAUCUGGUUAACCGUUGAUUACACCACAGAAACUUUGAUCCUUGCUGAUCAAAGACGCAAGCCGGCUGAAUAAAGCCAUGACCUGCAGGUUGAUAGAGACCAAGAAUAGCAUAUGGUAUUCAAAUGAUUUGAUUAAUUGUUGAUUAAUUAAUCAAAGACUUUGCAGAUUAGUCACAUAUAAGGCAUGCUUAAAAUACUUGAUCAAAAUGUGAUUAUCUUAGAGUUCAUGUAUCUAGAGUAGUGUAAGUCUAACUAUUUGUUUGACCAUUCUACUUGAAGGGGCCAGCCAUGGAAUUACUAGUAGUUUAGUAAAAAGUGUUUUGACUGUAGCAUAGCAUUUGGCAGAAAAAAAUUGGAGGUGAGUGUAACGACGUGAUGAGUGCUAUAGGAAGAUAGGAUAUAAUCACGUGAAUUGGACCUGUAGAAAUUGAAAUAUAUCCAAGUGAUCUUAUUGGAUAUGAAAUUUCCUUGAGGUGACAUCAAAUUAACAACAGCAUGUGUUUUAGUGUUUAUGCAGGCUCUAUUUUGAUCGUCUGUUAUAUAAUCCGACAGUGAAGUUUAACCUCUAGCAGGUUGCAUCCGGUUGAAGUAUCGACUUGAUUUUAUCACCGAGGCUUCCUUGCUGAUCGAAGAUUCAACGAUAUGCAAGCUGGCUGAACAAAGUCAUGCUGCAGGGUGGAUUGAGACCAAGGAUAUUGCAUUGAUCAAAGACUUUGCAACUUGAUCAAAUGUAAUUAAGUCACGCUUACAGCACUUGAUUAAAGUGUGAUUAUUUAAGGAUUGGCUAAACAAGUUGUGUCUCUUUAUUUAACUAUUUGUUUGACCACUCAAAUUCUCAUGGGUGACUUGGACAUGUAGAAACCUCAGAUUAAGCAGCCACUGGUUUUAGACUUUUAGUCAUUAAUUAAUUACUAAUUUUGUGUGUCAUGUUGGCUAUUUUUUAACCUGAAUAUACUUGCAACCAUCUUAACAGUGAAUUCAAAUCAGUGAGCAUUACUGAUGAUAUCAUAGCUUUAGACUUUAGUGUCUAGUUGUGCUAAAUCUAGCUUUAAUUUGCUGCUAUCGUAAUACGUCAUAAUGAUUAUCACAGAUUAGUAACGAGUUAUCAGUGCCAUUUCCAGGUGGGUUCGGAUAGAGGUUGACAAACAAAUGCAAUUUAAAAAUAAAUAAAAAAUUUUGAAUGAAGUCAAAUUCCAUGAAUCGAAUCCAUUAGAACGAUUAAAAAUAAAUAAAAACCAUCAAUUUCUCAUUAGAAAUGAGGGCGGGUCUUAGUACAACAGAAAUGUUGCUCUUUUGUGACCGAAAGAUCACGGGUUCGGACCGUGAAAACAGUCUCUUUGUAAAACAAGAGUAAGGCUGCGUAUGCUAGAUGAUUCUCUCCCGACCCUGGCAAAGCGGGAAGCCUUGUUGGCUUGGUGUCCCCAUUUUAAUUCUCAUUAGAAAUGAAUAAACCAGUUGUUCUUAGCAACUUGUAUCACCUGAACUGCCAGUAUUCUGUAUUUAUUAAUAAUAUACACAUAACAGAACUAAGAAAAACUUUGUGCUAUCGAGAACAUGGGUAGAAAUUCAUGACCAAAAACACCAUAGGAAAGUUUCAACUUUGUACAGAUUCAUGAAUCUUAUGGUGUUAUCGCGGCAUGACGUUAGAAACUGUUAGGCCAUUAAUAGAACUAUUACCAGCGGCUGUCUCAGUAUAAUGAUCAGUGAAUCUUCCCGUGGUGAAAGCAGGUUUCUCGGGUUGGCUAAGAGUUACAGUUUCACUUUUCAACAUUACAACAGCAGAAGACAUGGUUGGCCUGUCAUACGCAUCUUCCUGGACACACAACAAUCCGAUAUGGAGAUAUCUUAGAAACUCAUCUGGAUCACAUGAAUCGAGUAGUAGUGGGUCGAGUAGCUCCAACCCUUUUCCGUCAUGCCAUAAUUUCCAUGCCUGCAUCAUAAUCAAUUGGACAAGCAUUAAGCUGCUGUUUAAUUGCAAAGAGUCUUGCUCUGAGAGAAGUGCAUAAAGUAACUUACAUAUGUUACAAGGCUAGGAACACGUUUUAUUGGAUGAAAGCUGGCGUUCCUUCUCCCAGUUAUGAUCUCAAGCAAUAGUACUCCGAAACCAUAAACAUCAGACUUGACGGAAUAUACUCCCUCCAUUGCAUAUUCUGGAGCCAUGUAUCCGCUAUUCCAAUACCAAAAUCCAGAACAAAAUGUUGAGUACCGUAAGUUUCCCUUUAAUGGAAAAGAAAAUUUAGACAAGAAGCACUUACUAAGUCCCAACUAUUGUAGUCGUAUUUGCUUGGCCUUCACUUCCUGCAAAGAUCCUUGCCAUGCCAAAGUCGGAGAUCUUAGGGUUCAUGUCACUGUCCAAUAAAACAUUGCUAGCUUUCAGGUCCCUAUGGAUGAUUUGAAGUCGAGAGUCCUCGUGUAAAUAAAGAAUUCCCCGUGCAAUUCCACUUAUAAUGUUUACACGUCUGCUCCAAUCAAGUUGCACUCGUUUCUCUGAAUCUAAGCAUCAUUGGAGGAGAACUUACAGACUAAAAGAUUUCUGAGAAUAAAAUCUUAGCCAUAGUAUAAAACAGUUGAAUCUAGAUCCCAAAUACAGAAAUUUUCGAGAGAUCAUAAGAGAAAACAUACCAAAGAGGAAGACAUUUAGGCUGCUGUUUGGCAGGUAUUCAUAGACAAGCAGUUUUUCCUCUCCCUCAACACAAAAACCCAAAAGCCGAACAAGAUUUUUAUGUUGAAGUUUCAUUAUCAGCAGAACUUCAUUUGUGAAUUCCUCCGUGCCUUGCUCAGAACAGCUUGAAAGCCUCUUGAUUGCCACUUCUUUUCCGUCACUGAGUACACCCUGCAAAAUACCAGAUUUUAAAUCAAGCCACUGAAAUACUAACCAAGCGGAAGAUAGUAAUACAAAUAAAUCUUCGUAUGUGAACUUUUUGUCCCUAGUUUUGUUAAAGAAACAGUUUGCUUUUACUUUUUACCUUGUAAACAGGCCCAAAACCACCUUCUCCAAGCUUAUUUGAAUCAGAGAAUUUAUCCGUAGCUGCAUGUAUAGAUGCCAAACUGAUAUAGGGGUACUCCUCAGCUUUCGGGUUUCUGCCUUGAAAACGUUGUUCCGGGAACAAUACAUGUUGUCUUAAAAUCUCACUACUCACUGAACAGAUCGAAAGAAAAGCUGCUUUCAGAAAACAUAUUAGAGUGAUGAUCAGCUCUAAAAUAAGCAUUUCCGAACGCAUUAUUUUACCCUUUUUGUUUCUUUUUCUCAUUGCAAGAUAGACACAGGAACCCAUAAGUAGUAUGGCUAGACAUGCUGACGCAAUCGUAAGGAUCGUGAUCCACCAUCCUCUACCUUCAUUUGGAAACAACCAAGCCUUCGCAGUUAAUUUAUAACAUUGUAACGUCGAAAUUGAUACACAAUUUUAAAAGUACUCACCGUCCCCUUUGUUGUUAUUCGGAGAGCUAGAAAUAGAAGCUUGAGUUGCACCAUUAUAGAAGGCAUACAAUUCGUACCUCAGAUAGCAACUCCGGCUCAGAAGCCGUGCACCAAUGGAGAAAUAAAACUCUCUCAAAACGUCUUCUAUGGCGCGCUGAAGGCAUUUAUCACAGUCAUCUCCAGAUAAGUCUCUAGUGCACUGCACAAGAGCAUAUAUCACUUUAUCUUCAAAUGGUACAUCUCCAGUAGCAUACAUUUUCGCUGAAACAUUAUAUGCCGCUCGCUUCGCAAGCUCACUCAGCUUCUCCUUCACGGUAUACUCAAACUUUUUUGGCUCUGAAACGUUUUCCUUGUUAGCCAAUGGAAUGUUGCCUCCCAUAUUCAAUUCACCAUAGAACUUCAUAUCGGAGUAGCGCAGUUGGCACGUCUCCUCCCACACAACUGAUUCUGUUGAGUUGGGACAAAUCCUCACAAUGUCUAAAUGCGCGGUGUUGAUGCAGUUGUGACAUGUCUCAUUCGUAACAUAAUCGAGGCACAUAUAAAGGCCAUAAACUCUAUCUGGUUCAUUUCCAACGGAGGUAUUGUACAGCUUGGAAACAGAAGCAUUCGAAGGCAAUGAAUUGAGCAGGCUCUGAAGGUUUUUCUGAAACGUACUAUUUUCGACAUAACCGCGAACAUCUGAGCACAACUUGUAUGGAGGAUCAGCAUAAGCAAGAUCAAAAAGGAAGGUGAUGAGAUAACAAAGCAAAAAAAGAGAGAUUGUUUUCGGAACACAAGGGAAAUUAGCCAUGUUUUGAUCUCUAAUCAUAGAAAAAGAUUAGGGAAACUUUUAUAUAUAGCUUUGAAGUCUUCUCCUUCCUGCUCGAAAUAUGGUUAAAAAUCUCGGAGUACGAGCACCAUUGAAUUUUUGUGAAUUGAUAGGUAGUUUCUUGGAAGACUUGUUUAAUUAAAUUAGUUAUCAUCACAUCAGUACAAAUUCUAAGAAAACAAAGACUUCGACUGGCUGUAUUUUCCAGGAAAUUUUUCACAGUUGGUCAUGGUUUUGUUUGUAAUUCAGUCAAUGUCACACCACAAGUUGAAAGAUAUAUUAACUCAAAACUAAUAGAUAACGACAGAGACUUCCACAAACCAUCAAAUAAUAUAAUAGUCACACAUGUUUUGCGGUGGUUUACUUAUUUUUAUAUAUACAUGCGAGAUUAGCAUGUUCAGUAGGUCACACAAUUAGAAUUAAACUUCAUUGCCUAGCCUACUCUCCAUGUAUGCAUGCCUGAUUUUCAGACAAAUCUAUUUGAAAUUAUUAGUUUCAUUUUCAUCCAAUUUUGUCAUUAAAAAUAAAACAAUUAAAAUUUCAGAAAAGUUGGUAACUUACAUUCAUGGUCUAAAAUAUCCAUAAUAUCCCGAUAUUUCCAUCGAAAUUUCCAUGUUUUUUUACUACCGAUAUUUCCGAUAUCAUCGAUAUUUUAGACCUUGCUAAGUCACUCAUGUAUCUUACCAUGCAAUGUAUAAGAUGUAAAAUAUUAUACUAAUUCAUUAUAUAUAAAUGAUUAUGGUGUGUUUAAACUUCUUUCAUUAAUUACUACAUAUUUUCUACACUCACAAUGUUUGCCAGCUCGCUAUAUAAUCAACUUAAAUUAGUUAUAUCUAUCAUGCAAUGCAUUCCUUCUAAUUUUUUGUGAUAAACUAGCAGAUAAUUGACUAAAUAAACAUCCUGCAAAGUUUCUGUUGAUGCACAAAAUCAGCGAAGACUUUGGUACAACAGAAAGUGUCAGGUUUUAUGACCUUCGCUUGGUUGCUUCGGUCACUAGUGAGGAUAAGUACGUAAAUGAACAGAGACAGAGAAGCAAACACAGGAUGUACGUGGUUCACCCAGAUUGGCUACGUCCACGGAGUAGAGGAGUUCUUAUUAGUAGUGAAAGGCUUACACAAGUACAAAGGAUCAAGCUCUCAAUUUAGAGUUCUUGUGAAUGAUUUAACACAAAUGGCAUUAGGCCAUAUUGUGGGAGAAUGACCCCUAUUUAUAGAAAAACUUGUAGCUUUGUCACAUUGACAUGUGUCAUAUUAUGAUUGGUUCUUGAUGUUGACACGUGCUGCGCUCUGAUUGGCUUCUAAUCUUGACACGUGUCGAGUAGUGAUUGGCCUCCUGGUCGGAGGGGAACUCUUCUGGGUCCUUGACAGUAUAGCGUUGGCCGGUGCUCGGUAGUUUCGGGAUUGGUCAAGUAUGGUACAAACAGUGCUCCCCUAAGUUCCCGAGUGAGGGAAACUCCUCGGUUGGGGACUUGCAAGAUCUAAUCCCUUGAGUAAUCACGAAACUUCUAAGUACCGAAGUGUGGUCUGAUCUUCAUCUGCCCUUCUCUGGAAGUACCUUUCCUCCAUCCGGGAAUGGUGUAUUUAGCUGAUGUGUUGACGCACAAGGUAAUGUAUCAAUUUCACUUGAAGCUUAGUUGUAGUUUCGGGCUUAGUAAGUGUCAUACAAACCCUAUAGUAGGAGUCCCCCAAGUCGCCGAGCUAGGAGAUCUGCCGAAAGAGGUGACAGACAAGGUAAGCAGUCAAACUUCCAAGUAAGCAACCCAGGAUCAGAGGUUUGACUUCGGCUUCCGGUUGAUUGUUCUCAUUCUCCUUGUCUCUCAUUCAACUGCCAGGAUAAGGAGAAGCAAAUGGAUAAGAGAUGAUAUGAGAUACUUUUGCUUUUUUGAAGAAGUAACUUUCCACAGGCUUAUUCUUGAACUGUGCUGGAGGGUUUUCUGGUGCCCUUCAGAGUAUAAGGCCGACUCAAAAAUUUGAGGGUCAAAACAAGUCCAUCAAAUCUAGAGUACGUUCGACCUUGAUGAUAUGGGAUACUUUUGCUGUUGACGGAAUAGAAUAAUGAAUGUGGUAUGGAAAGGUGUCGUGCUGUAGUGAUCUGUUUCAGCUCACCGUUGAACCUUCUGCUUCAAUCUUUUGCAUGGCAGAAGUGGUGUGCAACCUUUGCAUUUAAAUGGUCCUUCAGAACAUUCCUUCAUAGUGACUCAUCCACGCUUGGCAGCUUCAGUGUAAAGAGCCAAUAUCUGAUCAACUGUCAUGAGGUAUUUGCCGGUGGAAUUCGUGACCUUGACAGCAGUUAAGGAUGAGUACUCGAGAGCAAUGCUAAGUAAGCAACCAGGCAAAGGCUCCAGGCAGUCAGUUCCAAAUUGGAGGUUUGAUUUCAGGUUCCGACUGACUGCUCUCUUUCUCCUUGUCCUGCAGGUGUGGACAAGGACAAAGACAAAGACAGGGAGAAAGCAUGAUAUGGGAUACUCUUGCUUUCGACCCUGAUGAUAUGAGAUACUCUUGUUCUUGGUGUGGCUUAUUUGCUGAGGUAUUAUCGGGGGGGAAAUAAAGCUGAGUAUUUCGAGAGGUUAUGUUGAGGGUGCCUUUUCGAAUGCGAGAAAGGGUUGAGCAUUUUUGCAGGUUUGCCUGUCCGUUGAGGAGGGAGGUCAAUGUAUAUAGGGAUUUCCCAAUAACAAGUAGUAAUGCUAUUCCUUUACCCUUCUUGGUCACAGCAAUGUAGUGGGAGCUGCCAGCUUCACGUGUUUUAAUUUGUGUCAGAGCACUUUGAAAAAGUGGUAUGUGGUAUCUGGAAAGCUGAUAUUACGUGUGAAGAUUACAGACAAGCUUUAUCUAAGGAAAUCUGGCUCUCGAAGUUCUGAGAGUUGUGCCUCUUCGGUUUUCGAACAAGCAAUCCCGUCGAGGAUCUGACUCUCGAGAUUCGGAAAGCGGUGCUACUCCGGUUUUUUGAGAAAGUAAUUAUGUUGGGAGUCUUUUCUCGAAUGUGAGUAAAGGUUGGACGUUCUUGCCAACCUGUCUUGCCGCAAAAACACGGAGGUCGACACACAUAGGGACUUUCCAGUUGUCAAGCAGUGGUGCUGUUCCUUUACCCUUAUGGGUAAUAGUAGGGUAGCUGGAACUUCGAAAUUCUCGUGCCUAAACUUUGUCAGAGAUCUUUGACAAAGUUAUAUGUGGUACCCGAGGAGUUGAUGGUGCAUAUGGAGAGCGGUGAUUGAAUCAGUAAGAUUCACGUGCUUUCUACUUCACCAGAAAUCUUCGACAGAUUGCCCGUAAUUUCCGCAAAGCUGAUUGUGCAUGUGACAGGUGCUGACGAGGCUGAAAAAGCAGGUGCUUCUUCGAUUUCUGAGAUCGGCCCUCGUGGUCUCUGAGCAGCCCAGCUUUUGAGAAAGCAAACGCCUCUUCGAUUUCUGAGAUCGGCCCUCGUGGUCUCUGAGCAGCCCAGCUUUUGAGAAAGCAAACGCCUCUUCGAUUUCUGAAGCUCCGUCGAGUGCAGAUUUUUAUAGAGGCUGGCAUUAAGUUCCACAGCACACUUGAAUCUCUACCAGUAGAAGCUCAUUUCUUGCACUUCUAAGAUCUUGAUUUGUCUGACCUCUUCCCUCUUCAACACAUUUGAAAAUGUCUGGACCCUCCGACCGUCGUUUUGACUUGAACCUUGGAGAAGAGACAGCCACGCCUUCUCCAGACAACAUAUGGCGCCCAUCCUUCAUAUCCCCCUACUGGUCCUCUUACCGUUGGGGAUUCUGUGAUGAAGAAUGAUAUGACCGCUGCAGUGGUGGCCAGGAACCUUCUCACUCCCAAAGAUAACAGACUACUUUCCAAACGGUCUGAUGAGUUGGCUGUUAAGGACUCUCUGGCUCUUAGUGUUCAGUGUGCAGGUUCUGUGUCUAAUAUGGCCCAACGCCUAUUUGCUAGAACUAGAACCGCCAAGUUGAAUCAUUGGCUGCUGAAGUGAUGAGUCUCAAACAGGAGAUUAGAGGGCUCAAGCAUGAGAAUAAAGCAGUUGCACCGGCUCGCCCAUGACUAUGCUACAAACAUGAAGAGGAAGCUUGACCAGAUGAAGGAAUCUGAUGGUAAGGUUUUACUUGAUCAUCAGCGGUUUGUGGGUUUGUUCCAAAGGCAUUUAUUGCCUUCGUCCUCUGGGGCUGUACCUGGUAAUGAAGCUUCAAAUGAUGAACCUCCAAUGCCUCCUCCUUCUGGGGUUUUGUCAAGUACUGAGGCUCCGGAUAACCACCCUCCGGUGCUUUCUCUUUCUGGGGCUCUACCGACUGCUGAGACUUCCCCUAAGCAACCUUUGUGAAGGCUCCCUUUUGUUUUGUUUAUUUUGACUCAUGUAUAUGUACAUAUUUGUGGCUUAUCGAAAAUAUUAAUAAAUAAGCUUUGCUUCAUUUCAACAUAUUGUGUUAAAUACACCAAAGCCUUCUUCAUAAAGUUCUUUGAAUUUUUGCUUUUUGUUGAAACCUGUAUUGUUGAAGCUUUGUGAGUGAAGCAUGUAGUUUGAGGUAGUGUUCCCUUAAUUUCCCGAGUGAGGAAAACUUCUCGGUUGGAGACUUGAAAAAUCCAAGUCACUGAGUGGUUGUGAGACUGCCGAGUAUCAAGGUGCAGUAGCAUAUGGUGGGAGUCCCCCAAGUCUUCAGGCGAAGAGAGUUGCCGAAUGAGGUGUCUCGCGUGUUACUAAUUUGUCAAAGUAACGAAUUCUUGUUUCGAUGUCACACAUUCGUAUAUUUGCUUUAUCUAAAAAAUAUUUCCAACUUUUGUGUGUUUGAUGCUGCAUGCUAUUGACUAGACAAGAUCAAGUGCAAUUAGUAGCUUUUCUCUUUUUUUCAUCUUUUCUUUGGUGGAAUUGCUUUUCGUUUCCACUAAUCAGCCUGAGUGGAUGCAAGAUAACACCUUUCUCUAUAGCUCAGAUUGCAAAGUCGUCUUCAUGAAAGUUUUUCCUUAUCUUGUGAACUACAACAUAUCCAAAUUUGAGAUCCAUCGGAGUAGUACAACUUCAGAAAUUCAAGUAUGAUGAGUAACUGUUCAUCAAUGUUCUGUUAAUCCGUCAGACUUGUUGUGAGCUUCGAAACUCCAUUUUCUCUUGUUCAGAUCAACAUACUUUCUUCAUCGAAGUUGUUCCUUAACUUGUGAACUACAACAUAUCCAAAUUUGAGGUCCCUCGGAGCAGUAUAACUCCAGAAAUCCAGGUAUGAUGAGUGACUGUUUAUCAUUUGUCUGUCAACCCGUCAGAUUUGUUGUGAGCUUUGAAACUCUAUUUUCUCUUGCUCAGAUCAGCAUGCUUUCUUCAUUGAAGUUGUUCCUCAGCUUGUGAAAUACAACAUAUCCAAAUUUGAGAUCCCUCGGAGCAGUAUAACUCCAGAAAUCCAGGUAUGAUGAAUGACUGGUUAUUAUUUUUCUGUCAACCCGUCAGAUUUGUUGUGAGCUUCGAAACUCCAUUUUCUCUUGUUCAGAUCGGUAUGCUUUCUUCAUUGAAGUUGUUCCUCAGCUCGUGAACUACAACAUAUCCAAAUUUGAGAUCCCUCGGAGCAGUAUAACUCCAGAAAAUCCAGGUAUGAUGAAUGACUGGUUAUUAUUUUUCUGUCAACCCGUCAGAUUUGUUGUGAGCUUCGAAACUCCAUUUUCUCUUGUUCAGAUCGGCAUGCUUUCUUCAUUGAAGUUGUUCCUCAUCGACUCUUUCAUAACAUAUCAAAAAUUCAGGAUGAACUAACGGUUAAAUAUUUCCAGAUCUUCGAAACAUCACAACAGCUUCGAAAUCUGCAAGAAGCCGACUAUCAUGUUUGGAGCUUCAACACUUUAAUUUCCGUCGCUCAAACAGAAAUGGUUCCUUCUUGAAAGUUGUUCAUAUGCUCAAGAACUAUAGGGUGUCCAAAAUUCAGCUCCAUUGGAGAAGAGCAGAGGUUGCAGAAAUUUGAUAGAUGAAAGGAGGCGGAAGAGGGAGAGAGAGAAAAAGUCUCUUGGGUUGGAUUUCUAUUUUGGGGCAGAUUCCAAUUUUUGUAGCACCUUCAUUAUUGAUGAAUUGCUUGUACUUUUGUCCAUUAUGAAACUUGGGACUUUGGCUUGUUGUUGGAUCUAUUAUAAUAUGUUUGGGAACAUAUAUAAGUGAAUAAAUAAGAAGGAAAAUUUUGGGCCCUUGUGGGUGUAAAAACAAAAAAUGUUUAUGUUUACCCAAGUGUUUUUGUACAAGUUCAAGGGCAUCUUGGGUUUUGUGAACAAAAUUUGUUUAUUUGGAGCAAGGUUUUGUGUUGAAGCUUUGUAGGUGAAGCUUUGGUGUUGAAGCUUUCUAGGUGAAGCUUUUGAUGGUGAAGCUUUGUAGAUGAAGCUUUGUAGGUGAAGCUUUUAGGUGAAGCUUUGAUGGUGAAGCUUUUGGUGAAGCUUUUGUAGUGAAGAGCUUUCUAGGUGAAGCUUUUUAGGUGAAGCUUUUGUAGGUGAAGCUUUUUUUAAGUGAAGCUUUUCGGGUGAAGUUUUUUUUUUGUGGGUGAAGCUUUGUGGGUGAAGCUUUUUAGGUGAAGCUUUGUGGGUGAAGCUUUGGAGGUGAAGCUUUUUUCGGGUGAAGCUUUUUGGGUGAAGCUUUUUAGGUGAAGCUUUGUGGGUGAAGCUUUGGAGGUGAAGCUUUUCGGGUGAAGCUUUUUGGAUGAAGCUGUUUUUUUUUUUUUUUUUUUUUUUUUUUUUUUUUUGGCGCUUGACACGGUCUUCAUUUGCUUGUUUUGUAGUGACUGUGGAAGACGGAUUGCUUUCUGAUUGAGAAGGGUUCCGGCAUCGCUUGCUAUGAAUGUAAAAGAGUGAGGGCUGAGUUGGCUAAAUUACCUCUUUAUUGAAUUCAUUGCCAAAUGGCCUUCAUUACAUAGGAUGCCGAACGGCUAUAGCUCAACACUUGUACAUCGUGAGUCUAUUUGUAGUAGUACUUCAAGUGAUCAGCGUUCCAUGGAUGGCCAAGGGUCUUGCCAUCGGAGCUUCUAAGUGUGUAAGAGCCAGGGCGACUGAUGCCAAUGACUUCAUACGGUCCAUCCCAGUUUGGACUAAGUGUGCCUUCACUCGGGACUCUGUCGCAGAGUAAUCUUUUCUUUAAGACCCAGUCUCCUAUUUUGAAAGAACGAGGCUUGACCCUAGAGUCAUAAUAGUUGGAGAUGCGCUGCUUGUAGGCGACAUUCCUCAAGUGAGCUUGGUUUCUGUGUUCCUCGACUAAAUCCAAGUUGAGGGUGAGUUGUUUGUCAUUUUCACUUUGAAUGUAGUUCUGGACUCGGAAUGUUGCUUGCUCGAGCUCAACAGGGACAACCGCCUCUGUGCCAAAGGCAAGUGAGAAUGGAGUUUCUCCUGUUGAAGUCCGAUAUGAAGUGCGAUAUGACCAAAGAACUUGGGGUACAAAUUCUGGCCAACAGCCUUUAGCUUUGUCCAAGCUGGUUUUCAAAGUGCGCUUGAUUAUUUUGUUGAUGGCCUCAACUUGUCCAUUAGACUGGGGAUGAGCUGGAGAGGCAAAGCAUAAGUUGAUGUUGAACUUAGAGCAGAACAACCUGAACCUCUUGUUGUCAAACUGUCGCCCAUUGUCAGUGACUAUCGCAUUGGGAAUGCCGAAUCUACAAAGGAUGUUCUUCCACACGAAGUCUUCUAUCUUUGCCUCAGUAAUGGUUGCCAAGGGUUCUACUUUGGCCCACUUUGUGAAGUAGUCCACUGCAACGACUGCGUAACAGACUUUUGCCCUUCCCUGCCGGCAUUGGGCCGAUCAAAUCAAGUCCCCACUGGGCGAAGGGCCAAGGGCUGAUCAUAGGAGUAAGAGGCUCUGGAGGGGAAUGAGGAAUAGUCGCAUAUCGUUGACAUUUGUCACAUGAGCGGGAUACUUUGAUGGCAUCCUGGUGGAGUGUUGGCCAGUAAUAUCCUUGGCGAAAAGUCUUGUGUGCUAGGGACCGAGAUCCAGCAUGAUCUCCACAGACUCCCUCAUGUAUUUCCCGAAGGACGAUUUCCGCCUCGGCAGGCGUAAGACACCUUAAGUAUGGCAGGCUAAAACCUCGCUUAUAGAGUUGAUCAUUGAUGAUCAGGUAGCGGGUAGACUUGUAUCGAAUUUGCUUAGCCUGGACUUUAUCAUUUGGGAGGGUGCCAUGAGCAAGGAAAUUAUAGAUCAGGGUGAUCCAACUAUCCCCCUGUUGUAAGUUGCAUACUUCUGCGGCCAUGGUGCUUGGUGUUGCCAAACAGUUCGACAUGAAUUUUUCUUCCAAUCUUGUCUUCCACAGCCGAGGCGAGGCGAGCCAGGGCGUCUGCAUGACUGUUUGCCGCUCGAGGAACUUGGGUGAUCUGGUAGUGGAAGUGUUUGAGCAAAAGUUGUGUUUGCGCAAGAUAUGCUGCCAUGGAGCUGUCCUUAGCAUCAAAGUUGUUGGUAACCUGGUUGACCACCAAUUGGGAGUCACUGAAAAUAUCAAUUUGUUUAACCCCGAGGUGUUUGGCCAAACGUAAUCCUGCUAGAAGGGCUUCAUACUCGGCCUCAUUAUUUGAUGCCUUGAAUUUGAAACGAAGAGCAUACUCCAUUGCUACUUUGUCGGGUGUAGUCAAGACUAGUCCCGCUCCACAGCCCUGUUGGUUGGAUGAGCCAUCAACAUACAGACUCCAUGCUGGGGUUGUUGGUUCUAUCUUCUGAGCUUCCGGGGGUAAUGAAGCCACUGCUUCAGGUGUAGAAGCAAUGUCAACCGGAUAUGUGAAGUCGGCAAUGAAGUCUGCCACUGCUUGGCCCUUCUCAGCUGGCUUUGGUUGGUAGGAGAUGUCAAACUCACCCAACGCUAUUGCCCAUUUGAUCAUUCGCCCUGAAGUGUCAGGACUUUGGAGUAUCUGUCGAAGAGGAUAAUUGGUAAGCACGAUGAUGGAGUGCGCUUGGAAGUAAGGGCGGAGUUUUCGAGCAGACAUGACCAAUGCCAGAGCCAAUUUCUCAAUGUUGGGACUACUGUUUAUACCAUAUUUAGGGCCUCGUAUAUUUGGGCCUUGGGCCUUAUAUUUAGGCCUCACACUAAAGCCCAUACUUUGUAAAAGAGGAGGAGCCCCUUAUUCUAUAAAAGGGGACUCCUACCCUCAUUCUAGAAAAAAAAGAGCCAAGCCUAAGAAGGCUAAGAGAAGCUCUCAUUACAUUCAGGAGAGACCUCACACCACCGAGGCUCUCAUCUCCCUUCUCUUCUUUCUCUGGGGGACUUCCCCCAAACACUUGUAUCCAUACACUUACAGAGAAACAGAAUCAACUACAGUGUGGACGUAGCCCAAACAUUGGGGUGAACCACGAUAAAAUCCUUGUGUUCUUCGUGUUCUUGAGCGUUUGUGCAGAUUCACGGUCGGAUUUACGUUGUUCCAAGACCAUCCGGUUUUGUGCAUCAACAUUUGGCGCCGUCUGUGGGAAUCGACACGAAAAGCUGUGUCGGUUUCUCUCUCAUUUUUUCACCUCCGCCGUGGAUUUGCAAAAUUCGCAGAAACCAAGAAUCCAAAACUUCCAUUGAAGUGUUUGCUUUUCUUCAAGUUCUUGACAUCAGUAGCAAUUGGGGUGCUUUUAUUCAGUGUCCUGUUUCUUAUGCUGCGCCACAACAUGAAAAGUCUCCAUUACCAAAGAUUCAGUGAGUCAACAAGUAUAACUCAGCCGAGUCAGUCCAAUUUUCAGAGCAAACGACUAGAUCCACUUCUACAACCCAGCCCCAAGGCUCAAAAUGCUCAAAGAUUACAAAUUUACGGUAAUAAUCGCAUGGAAAGUCAGUCCAAUCGAAGACCCAGAACCACUGACACUCACACAGAGAACCACCACGCAGUCAAUGGCGGACGACGAGCAGGCGACGGCGAUCACCAGUAGGCGACGGAAUCGAGGACCAGAGGCGUCGACCCGUGCCGGAGCCCUCGAAUGCCUCAAAACUCUCUGUCAUGGCGGUCGCCGAUCUGAAACUGGCGGGUUUCCAAAUGGAGGACCGAAUCUGCGACACUGUCGGAGACGACGAGUACGACGCAGUCGUUGCCAAACGACGGGAAGAGGUCCGAGGCUCCAUCGUAGACGACAACGGCCUAGGGUACUGCGAUGAGAGCGAGGAAGAAUGACAUUUCGGGGAUUGGGAAGGCGUUGUAUCAGAAUUUCUCGAAGAAGAAGCAGCGCCUCUAGGUUGUUUCAGUGCUCAAUUUAGUUGGUCAGAAGGAGGGUCCACCGUCGAUCGGAGAGGAGCCUGAGCCCAAGAGCGAGAGCAAUGUCAGUAGGCUCUUGGCAAAGCUGGGGAGGAUCAUGUACAUAUGAUUGUAUCGGAGGAGCAGGGGUGUCAGGAUGCUACACACCAAAACGGCGUCGUCCGUUUCCAGCUUCAAUGGCGGUGAAGUACGAGUGCUGCACCAGUAGAUUCUUCAUUCACAUAGUGGUCAUCAUACUACUAAUGCUGCUCACGGUGCUAAUGUCCGAGCUCACCUUGGGCCUCAUGUCCAUGAGCCUCGUCGAUCUCGAAGUCCUCGCCAAGUUUGGGAUGCCGAAGGAUCACAGGCACGCCUCGCAUCCAGCACCACCGAAGGGCAAGUAACAAUGGUUGAUCAGGUUCAACAUCCCUCUGUCAUCCAUAAGGUCGCGGUUCAGUCCGUCGUUUCCAAUAUCUCCGUUCUUGAGCAGCUCAAGACUUUUGCAGAUGACAGAAUGAUGAACUUGACACUGAGAUAAGAUUCCUCCUUUUUUAUUUUACUUUGUCAUCAUUACGUGUCCCACCCAUGAACAGGACUCCAUUUCUGUUGUCAUCAUUACGUGUCCGACCUCCAAGCAUUUUAUGAUCUUUCUGAUGUUUUCCCUAAUAUGGGAGUAUGAGUAAGAUAUUUUGCUGUCUGGUAAAGUUUUGAAGGAGCAAGGUAACACCACCGACAACGAAAAUGGUGAGAACGUGCUAGAGUCGGAGGACCCCAUAAUCAAGAAAAGCAGAAAAGCAGUGGGGAACAAAGCAGAAAAGAGAAAGCAAAAAACAAAAGCAGAAAGCAAAAGAGAAAAACAAAAGAUUUUUCUAUUAUUAUGAUUUCUUCUGUCUACCAGGUGAAGAUAUAGAGAGAGGGCAGCAGAAAAACACUGCAAAAGCAAGGAAUAAACACCUCACCCGAAUGAUGUAAUUUAUUUUUAUCUUUUGGAGACAUCUGUAUAAACCCCAUCAGAGGGUAAUAUGUAUAAACCCCAUCAGAGGGUCAAAAAAAAAAAAAAAAAAAAAAGGAAAAGCCCAAAACAAAUGGGCUGACAUGUUGUGGAGGGCAAAGGCCCAUAGGCCUGAAAUAGCACCAACCAGGUCAUCAAAAGUACGCCCAGUACUCCGCAAUUAUUCGGCAACCCGCCGUUAUUACCACCAACCAGGUGAUCAAAAGUACCCCCAGUACUCCACAAUUAUUCGGCAACUCGCCGCUAUUACCACCAACCAGGUGAUCAAAAGUACGCCCAGUACUUCAAGUCAUACAUGAGCAUUACUCAUGUCAAUCAUACAUAAACAUUCAUGAGCAUCACUCAUCCAAUCAUACAUAAACAUUCAUGAGCAUCACUCAUGUCAACAUUCAUGAGCAUCACUCAUGUCAACAUCCAUGAGCAUCACUCAUGUCAAUCAACAUAAACAUCCAUAAGCAUCACUCAUGUCAACAUCCAUGAGCAUCACUCAUGUCAAUCAACAUAAACAUGCAUGAGCAUCACUCAUGUCAAAUCAGCUUCAAAGACUUCAUUUACAGAGCUCUAGCUUCAAAAGCUUCAUUCACAAGAGCUCUAGCUUCAAAAGCUUCAUUUACAGAGCUCUAGCUUCAAAAGCUUCAUUUACAAGAGCUCUAGCUUCAAAAGCUUCAUUUACAAGAGCUCUAGCUUCAAAGACUUCAUUUACAGAGCUCUAGCUUCGAAAGCUUCAUUUACAAAAGCUCUAGCUUUCAAAGACUUCAUUUACAGAGCUCUAGCUUCAAAAGCUUCAUUUACAAAAGCUCUAGCUUUAAAAGCUUCAUUUACAGAGCUCUAGCUUAAAAGCUUCACUUGCAAAGCUUCACCUACAAAGCUUCACCUACAAAGCUUCAGUGCAGGGUAUACAAAUACCGCCUCCGAACAACCGCCACUUCGGCCCAUACAUGGAUUCAAUUUGAAGUCUCCAGCCAACAGACUCUAUUGACCGAAGACUUGGGGGACUACAUUAUGUACCAUAUAUUGGGCCUCAACUGGGCCUCAUGAAAAAUACUUGGGGGACUCUAGCCCAUUAUUUAUGUAUUAAGGAGCGAACCCUUAUUCUAUAAAAGGGACUCCCUCACUUUCAUUGAAAGAUCACCCAUGAUUUAUGUAUUGAGGAGCGAGCCCUUAUUCUAUAAAAGGGACUCCCUCACCACCAUUAGAGAGCAUCGCCGCCUACUGAGCAACUGUCUCACUGCGAGCAUCAACUCUAGCCCAUCACUUAUGUAUUGAGGAGCGAGCCCUUAUUCUAUAAAAGGGACUCCCUCACCUUCAAUGCCACAAGCCGAGCCAACCAAGGCAACAUAAGCUACAAGCAGAGCGACCUCGCAACAUGUGCUACUUCUAGUUGAGCAUCAUUUCAGAUUGGGCACCGCCUCAUAUCAAGCAUUAGUUCUAGAAGACAUCUAGUUACUUCGGCCCACAUAUGGACUGAAUUUCAAGUCUCCAGCCAAAAGACUCUCUUGACUGAAGACUUGGGGGACUACUGUUUAUACCAUAUUUAGGGCCUCGUAUAUUUGGGCCUUGGGCCUUAUAUUUAGGCCUCACACUAAAGCCCAUACUUUGUAAAAGAGGAGGAGCCCCUUAUUCUAUAAAAGGGGACUCCUACCCUCAUUCUAGAAAAAAAAGAGCCAAGCCUAAGAAGGCUAAGAGAAGCUCUCAUUACAUUCAGGAGAGACCUCACACCACCGAGGCUCUCCUCUCCCUUCUCUUCUUUCUCUGGGGGACUUCCCCCAAACACUUGUAUCCAUACACUUACAGAGAAACAGAAUCAACUACAGUGUGGACGUAGCCCAAACAUUGGGGUGAACCACGAUAAAAUCCUUGUGUUCUUCUUGUUCUUGAGCGUUUGUGCAGAUUCACGGUCGGAUUUACGUUGUUCCAAGACCAUAAAUGUUGAUGCACAAAAUCAGCGAAGACUUUGGUACAACAGAAAGUGUCAGGUUUUAUGACCUUCGCUUGGUUGCUUCGGUCACUAGUGAGGAUAAGUACGUAAAUGAACAGAGACAGAGAAGCAAACACAGGAUGUACGUGGUUCACCCAGAUUGGCUACGUCCACGGAGUAGAGGAGUUCUUAUUAGUAGUGAAAGGCUUACACAAGUACAAAGGAUCAAGCUCUCAAUUUAGUGAGUUCUUGUGAAUGAUUUAACACAAAUGGCAUUAGGCCAUAUUAUGGGGGAAUGACCCCUAUUUAUAGAAAAACUUGUAGCUUUGUCACAUUGACAUGUGUCAUGUUAUGAUUGGUUCUUGAUGUUGACACGUGCUGCGCUCUGAUUGGCUUCUAAUCUUGACACGUGUCGAGUAGUGAUUGGCCUCCUGGUCGGAGGGGAACUCUUCUGGGUCCUUGACAGUAUAGCGUUGGCCGGUGCUCGGUAGUUUCGGGAUUGGUCAAGUAUGGUACAAACAGUUUCAAUAAAAAUUUCCAAGUUUUUCUUACAAUUUCCGUGGUUUUUAUUCAAUUUUUAUCUAUAUCGAUAAUAUCUCAAUAUUUCCAUUGAAAUUUCUGUGUUUUUGGACUACCGAUAUUUCCGAUAUCAUCGAUAUUUUAUACCUUGCUUACGUUUCAAAAAUAGUUUGGCUCUUGAAUAUGCCCAACAUUUUGAAAUUUUUUUACAACAUACUCUAUGUGUUUAUUAGAUUGUAUUUAUUUUAUCAAGAAGUUAAUCAACGUAAAUAAUUUGAAACCUUAAUACGUUUGUAUAAAAUAUAUUGAGAUUAUUAAAAAUUUGAGAUGUACAUCCCAAUUUCGAUCCAUAUUAUUUUAGAAUUUUGAAUGUCAAAUUUCAUUCGAGUGCACCAAAAUUGAAAGUUUUUGUUACCAACUUGGUCAAAACUGAUCAAAAUCGAAAUUUCCAAUCCACCUUCCACCUGUUCCAAUAAUCUAUUGGCUUGGACUUUCAAGCCCAACACCAAUGUAUGUUGACCCAACGUAACUUUAGGAGAAGAAAAUGCCCUCCAUUCCAAAAGCCCUUCCGGUCAAACACGGUGGAUACUGGAUACGCAGGUUCAAACACGAACGGGCUUUUCCUCCUCGCCGAGUCCCUCCUCGGACCUCAGUCAAUGGCAGUCUCUCUGAGAAGACUUGCAGCGGCAUUCGGCUACUCGCCACAUCUUCAAUGCGUUCAAAGCUUGUUUCCGUUGCGCUUUGGAAAUAGUUAGAGUUCCUCUGUGUCGUAUGGUAUGCCCUGAACGUGCUUGUGAAAAUGUCUCUGAGACAACACCUGUCUUGUCACUAACCAUUUCUGCACCUGCUCUGUAUUUCAAGAUCAGAGGACGGUGCUCCGACCUUUCAUCCAGAAUUCCAACAAUGGCAUAACGGAGGUGGGUCUUUCCACAAGUCUGCCUGCAUUGACCCAACAGUGUUCAUAGAGUUUGGUGCUGUAGUUCAUUCAAAAUCCGUUGUUGGCGAGCAUGCUCGUAUUGGUUCUGGAGCUGUCAUUGGAACUUCGGUCGCUAUUGGCAAUCAACCAAAAUUGGGUGACGAUCAAAUUUUUAACUCGACAUUGCGACUCCACUAAACUGUGAUAGCACUUCUGCCAUUGCAAUCACUAAGAACCCUAUUUUUCACCAGAAGACUAAACACGUCAACAGGAGAUAUCAUUUUAUCGAGGAGGCUUUGCGGAAUGAGAUCAUUGACUUGGUGUACUGUUCAACCAAAGAACAGGUAGCUGAUAUAUUCACAAAGGCUCUUACCAAAGAUCAAUUCCGUCAUCUCAGAGAGCUAUUGGGAGUGAAAUCAGUUCACAAUUUAGGGGGAGUGUUGAUGUGUAAAUUGAUGAACUGAUAUGAAGAAGAUUACAAGUUUUGUGUAGUGUAAUGCUUCAGCUCAUAGGCUAAGCUUAUGUUUUUUUGUUUUUUUGUUUUUAUUGGAGAGUUUCGAAUUCUAGACUUAACAUACUCUUACACAUCACAUUACUCACACCCUCAACUUUUCUUUUGGCACUUUUUCAUUUCAUUCAUCUUCGAAUUAAAUGAAACGUUUUUUUUUAUUUUUUGGUUGCUACAGGUCCUGACUAAGCCUGGCAUUUUGGACCCAACCGGUUAACCCGACUUGACCCAACCCAUUAAUAUUUAUAUUUGGAUGAAUGUAUAACGGGUCAGGUCGCUAACGGGUGAACCAGUUAACAACCCGUUAAUAACGGGUCACUUUGGGUCAACCCGUUAGACCCGUUAUGACCCGUUAGACCCGUUAUGACCCGUUAGCACCCGUUAGUUGAGGAUAUUUUAGUAAUUUUAGUAAAGUCUUAAUAACAAAAAAUAAAUUUUAUGCAAAAAUAAUAAUAAUUGUUAACGGGUGAAACGGGUUGAGUUCGAUGACCCGUUAGCUUAACGGGUUGGAUUCGGGUGACCCAUUAACUUAACGGGUCGGGUUCAAUCCGAUCCAAACCCAAUAAACCCGACCCGCUUACAGGUCUAGUCCUGACUAUAACUAUCUUCAACUACAAGAGAAACCCAGUUAGGUUCGUUAACCUAAGGCCUCAUUUGGUUCACGUAAUGAAAGUGAAAGGAAAACGAAUCUGGUGUUUUUUUUCCUGCCUUCUAUGUUAAAAUUGCUUGGGAAGUUGGACAAAUAGCCUUCUUUUUAAAAUAAUAUGGCACAAGGUAAACGAAGAGAGCAAAGAAGAAUUAACACACAAGGUACGUUUUCUGAAUUCCUUGAUGAUCCUGAGGAUCUUAACUCACUGGGGUUAUUAAGUUUUUGUUUUUAUUUCAGCAAUAUAUAUAGCCACUCCAGAGCUAGGAUCAAACCACUUUUGAGCCCCCUCAAGCAGUACUCGAACCAGCCUCGAGGAAGCAAAAUGAAAUUCCAGUCAGAGUUAGUUCACCUCGGCGAAAUGAUGGAAAGAGUGAGCCCAUUUGAAGCAGGAUCAGUUGUAGACUCACUGAUUGGAGCAACUCUUCGUACAGCAAAUAUUGCCGGUUGCUUUGGUUCAGGAAGAUCUAUCGAUUCACUUCCCAGCAAUACAACCACAGUUGACAUUGUAGGUCUCUCUGCAGGGUCUUCCUGGACACACAAAAGACCAAUAUGCAUGCACUUCAAAACCUCAGCUGUUGGGCAAGUUUCCAUCAACAAGGGCUCAAUAAAUUCCAACUGUUUUCCGUCCUUCCAUAGCCUCCAUGCCUGUCAAUUAUUUAAACCGAAAAAUAUUUUAAUUCCACACAAAUUAAGAUAAGUAAUCAAAGUGGACAAAGAAACAUACAUAUGCAAGGAGUGUCUUGGCAUGUUCUGUGAGAUAGAACCCACUAUUCCUUUUCCCACUAAUAAUCUCUAGCAAGAUUACACCAAAGCUGAAGACAUUUGACCGAGAAUAGACCCUCCAUUGCGUACUCUGGAGCCAUAUAACCGCUGUUUCAAGAAUCAAGUAUAAGCAUUAGCAUGUUCUAAAGAUAAAUAUGGGAGCUGUAAGAAGCAAACUCACAUUG
rnacentral:lncRNA from 1 species